CAGGAUUUCACCAUUUUGGCCAGGCUGGUCUCAAACUCCUGACCUCAAGUGAUCCGCCUGCCUUGGCCUCCCAAAGUGCUGGGAUUUCGAGCGUAAGCCACCAUGCCCAGCUGCAGUCUUCCAUUUUGAAUGUUAGAAGGAAGAGUCUGUUUGGGGCCACAUUAAAGGUUAAUCUUGACUCCUUGGCCAUAUUUUCCAAUAAUCAGUAUAGCAAUAAACACUUACCUGAAAUGGCACAAUCCCUGUAUGCCUCUUACACUUAAGACAAUUGCAGUCAGUUAGCUAUGUACAUCUGUGUAAUCCACUAUGAUUCUGGCUGUAGGUUCUUCCUGGAUUUGAGAACAUCCUUUUUGCUCACUCAAGCUGGUACACGUAUGCAGCCAUGCUCAGGAUAUAUAAACACUGGGACUUCAACAUCAUAGAUAAAGACACCAGCAGUAGUCGCCUCUCUUUCAGCAGUUACCCAGGGUUUUUGGAGUCUCUGGAUGAUUUUUACAUUCUUAGCAGUGGAUUGAUAUUGCUGCAGACCACAAACAGUGUGUUUAAUAAAACCCUGCUAAAGCAGGUAAUACCUGAGACUCUCCUGGCCUGGCAAAGAGUCCGUGUGGCCAAUAUGAUGGCAGAUAGUGGCAAGAGGUGGGCAGACAUCUUUUCAAAAUACAACUCUGGCACCUAUAACAAUCAAUACAUGGUUCUGGACCUGAAGAAAGUAAAGCUGAACCACAGUCUUGACAAAGGCACUCUGUACAUUGUGGAGCAAAUUCCUACAUAUGUAGAAUAUUCUGAACAAACUGAUGUUCUACGGAAAG
rnacentral:sRNA from 1 species